AUCAAAUCUUAAGUCUAAUUAAAAAUAAUAAUACUGAAAAAACAGAUAAGACAAAUAAAAACACAAGCCAAGAAUCUAACUCAAACAAGAUUAAGUUAAGUAAACAAAUCGAACAAAAAACUUUACCCCAACCCACCCCAAUUACCGAAAGGGAACCUGAAUAAUUCUACUAAACAAAGAUAAAACCUUCUACCUUUUGCAUAAUGGGCUUCCAAAAAAGAAAAAAUUUUAUAAACCCGAAAGCAAGUGAACUAUCUCUUAUCAUCCCGGAGAAAAAUUAUAAAAUAUUAAAAAAUUUUAAAAAGAAUAACAGAUAGAGGUAAAAUGCCAUCCGCACCUGCUGAUAGCUGGUUAGUACUAAAAAUGCAUACAAGCGCAUAAAAAAAUAAAACUAAAUUUGGGACAAGCUAAAUUUAGAAUAAGAAAUAUUAACCCCAAAGCAAAAAAAUUACAUUAGGACUAAAAAUACCCAUAUUAAAAACCCUACUACAAGAUAUAUAAACUAUAAAGCCCACAAUAAUAAAAAAAUAUUCAAUUACCCCUCCCUAUAGACUAAUUCAUCCAAAACGACAAAGAAAAAAUAAAAUGGCAAGCAUAACUACACCAUAUAUAACCCUAACCUCCCUAAUCAAAAAUAAAAAAAGGAACUCGGCAACAUAGGCAACGACUGUUUAACAAAAACAUAGUUUCUAGUAACAAUUAGAAAUAACGUCUGCCCUGUGAUCCAAAAAUUUAACGGCCGCGAAAGUGCUAAGGUAGCGAAAUAAUUUGUCUUUUCACUGAAGACCUGCAUGAAAGACAUAACGAAGCCUAACUGUCUCUUAUUAUAAUAUAAAAAUUGACUAAUAAGUGAAAAAGCUUAAAUUUUUGUGAUGGACGAAAAGACCCUAUAGAGUUUAAGUAAAAACCAAAUUAUAAAAAACAAAAUCACAUCUACUUUUAUUGGGGCAAUAUAAGAACAAGAAAAAUCUAAAAACAACUAUAACGACCCUCAAAGAGACAAAAAGAAAAACUACCUUAGGGAUAACAGCGUAAUCUUUCCUAAGAGACCUAAUCGAAGAAAAGGAUUGCGACCUCGAUGUUGGACUAAGGAACCUUUUAGAUGCAGAAGUCUAAAAAGGAGGCCUGUUCGGCCUUUAAAACCUUACAUGAUCUGAGUUCAGGUCGGCGCAAGCUAGUCCGGUUUCUAUCCUCACAAAAUUAAUAAACUUACUUCGUAUUACGAAAGGAACAGAAGUAAAGGUAAUACCCUAAAUUUAAACCUAAAUAAAUACCCAAACAUAAAACUAUAAAUCAUAAAUUAACUCCAAACAGAAACUCUUCUAUUAUGCUUACCGGUUAUAAACCUACACCC
rnacentral:rRNA from 1 species